UACGUAGGGACCAAGCGUUGUUCGGAUUUACUGGGCGUAAAGGGCGCGUAGGCGGCGUGACAAGUCACUUGUGAAAUCUCCGGGCUUAACUCGGAACGGUCAAGUGAUACUGUCGUGCUAGAGUGCAGAAGGGCAAUCGGAAUUCUUGGUGUAGCGGUGAAAUGCGUAGAUAUCAGGAAGAACACCCGUGGCGAAGGCGGUUCUCUGGGACGGUACUGACGCUGAGACGCGAAAGCGUGGGAGCGAACAGG
rnacentral:rRNA from 1 species